CAGACUGGCGACCUGUCCAGGGUGUACCCUGCCUCUCGCCCUAUGACAGCUGGGAUAGGCUCCAGCGCCCCCCACGACCCUGAAAAGGAUAAGCGGAAGUGAAUGGAUGGAUACUGCAACCAGUACAUCAGUGACAGCAUUCCCCAACCAGCUGCAUGGGGAAAAAAAACCACACCCGCAGAGGAGCAGCCAUCUGGUGUGACUGGCUGGAAGGAAGUGAUUUUUACCAGCAGCAGGACCAGGAACAACAGAAGAAAGUGUUGACUGGAAACCCAGCAACAACUCCCCACACAGGUUUGACUUCUCUCUUUACAGUCAAUGAAUAAAAAUGUCAACAUGCUGACACCACAGCAUGUGUUUGGUUUUGAGCUUCUUUCAUGUAUCAUCUUACUUUCACUAUUGGUUGUCUUUACUGAGAUUAUCCUUUUAAACAAAUUGACAAAUAUUAAAUAUGGUUUUCCAUAAAUAAGGUGUCCUUGCAAUCAUAAAGCAAAAUCUAUUAAUCCAAUCUUCAAUGUUUAGUUUUAGCUAGUCAAUUUCAAAGCCAAGUUUAUGUCAUACAUGGAAGGUGGAGCAAUACGUUUUAGUUAAUCACUUCAUUUUAUUAAUGAAUUAUCAUUCAGAAGCAUUGCUUCGCAUUGUUUAUUUCACAUGUUACUUAUAAUUUUUCUAUUACAAAUAAUAUCACAUAAGGACCACUUACAUGUGUACAACUGCUUUUGGACUACACAAAACAUCUUUAUUGAAAUAAAUCAUUGGCACUGACACUUCAAUUCAAUUCUGUUUUAUUUAUAUAACAGGUGUCAAACUCCUGUCCUCGAGGGCCGGUGUCCGGAAACUUUUCCAUGUGUCGCAGCUGCAACACACCUGAAUGCAAUUAGUAGGACAUUAGCAAGACUCUAUAGCACUUGACUGCAUGCUGAGGUGACAAUUCAGCCAUUUGAUUCGUGUUACAGCAGCUCAUGAAUAAAUGAA